rnacentral:rRNA from 1 species
UAUGAAGGCGGGCUGGAACCUCUCGGGGUUACAGCCUUGCUGAAUUAUUCACCCUUGUCUUUUGCGUACUUCUUGUUUCCUUGGUGGGUUCGCCCACCACUAGGACAAACAUAAACCUUUUGUAAUUGCAAUCAGCGUCAGUAACAAAUUAAUAAUUACAACUUUCAACAACGGAUCUCUUGGUUCUGGCAUCGAUGAAGAACGCAGCGAAAUGCGAUAAGUAGUGUGAAUUGCAGAAUUCAGUGAAUCAUCGAAUCUUUGAACGCACAUUGCGCCCUUUGGUAUUCCAAAGGGCAUGCCUGUUCGAGCGUCAUUUGUACCCUCAAGCUUUGCUUGGUGUUGGGCGUCUUGUCUCUAGCUUUGCUGGAGACUCGCCUUAAAGUAAUUGGCAGCCGGCCUACUGGUUUCGGAGCGCAGCACAAGUCGCACUCUCUAUCAGCAAAGGUCUAGCAUCCAUUAAGCCUUUUUUUCAACUUUUGACCUCGGAUCAGGUAGGGAUACCCGC